rnacentral:rRNA from 1 species
GAUGAACGCUAGCGACAGGCUUAACACAUGCAAGUCGAGGGGCAGCACGGGAGUAGCAAUACAACUGGUGGCGACCGGCGCACGGGUGAGUAACGCGUAUGCAACCUACCUAUCAGAGGGGAAUAACCCGGCGAAAGUCGGACUAAUACCGCAUAAAACAGGGGCACCGCAUGGUGAUAUUUGUUAAAGAAAUUCGCUGAUAGAUGGGCAUGCGUUCCAUUAGGUAGUUGGUGAGGUAACGGCUCACCAAGCCGACGAUGGAUAGGGGAACUGAGAGGUUGGUCCCCCACACUGGUACUGAGACACGGACCAGACUCCUACGGGAGGCAGCAGUGAGGAAUAUUGGUCAAUGGGCGAGAGCCUGAACCAGCCAAGUCGCGUGAAGGAAGAAGGAUCUAUGGUUCGUAAACUUCUUUUGCAGGGGAAUAAAGUGCAGGACGUGUCCUGUUUUGUAUGUACCCUGAGAAUAAGGAUCGGCUAACUCCGUGCCAGCA